rnacentral:rRNA from 1 species
UACGAAGGGGGGCUAGCGUUGCUCGGAAUCACUGGGCGUAAAGCGCACGUAGGCGGGUUGCUAAGUCAGGGGUGAAAUCCUGGAGCUCAACUCCAGAACUGCCUUUGAUACUGGCGACCUUGAGUCCGGGAGAGGUGAGUGGAACUGCGAGUGUAGAGGUGAAAUUCGUAGAUAUUCGCAAGAACACCAGUGGCGAAGGCGGCUCACUGGCCCGGUAC